rnacentral:rRNA from 1 species
AGUGAACGCUGGCGGCAGGCCUAACACAUGCAAGUCGAACGGCAAGACGAUGAGGUUUUGCUCUUGCCGGUCGCGAGGGGCGGGCGGGUGACACGUACAUCAGAUUCUUCUAUGUCGGGGGGGAUAUCGUGGAGACGGUUACAAUAAUAGCGCAUACGACCAACGGCAGAGAUCAGGAGAGCAUGGCGCCUUGCCAGACGAUAAUAGCCGAUGUCGGAUGAGCUAGUUGGGUUGGUAAAGGCACACCAAGGCGACGAUCCGUAGCCGGUCUGAGAGGAUGAUCAGCCACACUGGAACUGAGACACGGUCCAGACUCCUACGGGAGGCAGCAGUGGGGAAUAUUGCACAAUGGGCGCAAGCCUGAUGCAGCCAUGCCGCGUGGGUGAAGAAGGCCUUCGGGUUGUAAAGCCCUUUUGUUGGGAAAGAAAAGAAGCAGGUUAAUACCCCGCUGUUUUGACGGUACCCAAAGAAUAAGCACCGGCUAACUUCGUG